UUUUAAAUCCAGAAAUAAGAGUUGUUGUUUUUUUAAAUCAAAUUUUCUUCCUACGCCAUACUGCCACCAACUCCAAAAGACUCCAUAGGCUCUGGAGACAUGGGUGGUGUUGAUGAUGUACGACAGCAUUACCAUUCGUUAUCAACAUGAUGCUCCAGACCAAGUGGACAGAACCCAGCUCUGACUGUAAACCCAUCAGCCCUGUACAGGAACCCCCAAAACGCAUUCCGCAUCGUACGGAGACCGGACCUCCUCUGAGGCGGUCAAAGUUCAACCAGCAUGCUUAUCGACCCCAAAACCCCCUGUACCCUGUGUGAUAAGAGGAGAUCCACAGGCCCACAGAGCGUUUAGCUCAUAAGGACAACAACAACCAGCAUCCCACUGGUUUCUGGAAGACUCUCCUCUGCAGUAACGCCGUCUGUAUGUACUGUGAGUGUACAAAUGCUGAUGGGUCUUUUUCGUUUGAGUAUGUUUUUUUAAAACAAAUAGGAGUUAGUUGAACCGAACUUUAAUGGCAAGAUAGAUGGCCAACUGAACAUCCGUCCAAGUCCCUUUACCCCUGUCACCAUCAUUUACCCUGCUACCAAAUCCUCUAUCUCUACCGUAAGAGGGUGUGUACUCUACCGUCUGUAUUGUAGCCGUAGUUGCCGUGGCUACGCUGCUCUUAACGUACAAAUACCAUAAUAUACUGGAGACUAGAUUCUAGAGUCUGCCAAGCUGGGGACUGAGGCUGGCGGCAGGAGUGAAAACACUCCAUUAUAUAACCUCUGUUUGUAUCGCUUUAGGGGGACCGGAUCAAGGGUGUGUGUAAAACUUGCAUGCAUCGUAUCACAUGUCAGAAGAAGUGUUUUCAAGGUCCAUCUUUGUUUGUUUUUGUCCGUGCCAAUGGAUCAGGCCUCGCUGGAGACGGCCAGCGGCGAAAUGCUAGCGAACUUAGUUUUCUACCCAACUAUGUACCAGCAACGUCUUUCCAAAUGAGAAUAAGAGAAAGCCUUUGUAGUGCCAAAAGAUCCCGUUGUUUUAAGUGAUUCAUCGGUUAAUGCUUUACAGCGGGGGCCAUCCAAGCCCUCGAACUGAAGUAAAGAGCCUGUGGAGACGUGCUCACGUAACUGGAAGCUUGUGAACCAGCAGCAGGUACGAAAGCAGGACAGUAGCAGGCUCGGGAGAGAGACAGCUCUGUAAAAUAUAUAGUGACUUGUCGAAAAGUUGUCUUCUUUUUUUUCUUGUCAAGAAGGAAAUAUCUGAACUGCUUGCAUGGUCAAAAGAGGAUAUAAACAUCAAAGACUAUGUGUGUUACAGUACCAGGUAGAUCUUUGGUAAGAUUGGAUUGUCCUGUACCAAACUUAACCCAUUUAUGAAAGGAUUAGAUAAGAGGGAACCUUCAUGUUCUCAUCCUAGCUGGAUGACAGCAUACUGUAGAUUCUUUCUGCUCGGUUGAGUGACCACCACCAUUCUGUUUUCUUUGUUGGCUCACUGUUUACAUCAAGUACUUGAAACUAGGUCGCAUUACAAGGUGAACAGUAUGAGGAAAUGACUUAUGGAGGGAGAGAGCAUAACACCAAUGUUAAUGGAUGUGCUUGUUUCGUCUGUGGCUUUAGAGCACCAAGCUAACCAACCAACCAUCGAAACCACUGAGUGCUCCUGACUCGUCUUCACGUCAACACUAAUCCGCCGCCUCUGUUGGCACCGUUUUGUUGAAAUUGGCCCGGUCCUUUUGCCACGGUGUGUAAAGACCUGUUGAGAAGGAUAGGGAAGGUGAGGAGGUCAUGGCCUGUUGCUGUACGGGAAGGCAGUGCUUCAGCCGUCUCGCCAGAGCUGUUUGAAGAGUAGGUGCUCAGUCAGAAAUGAGAACGAGAGAGAGAGAGAAACCCUUUUAGCUCUAGUUUCCUGCUCCCGGGCUUUGAAGCAGUGCUUUGAUCUGAGUGUAGUCGUGUGCAGAGUGUGAUCGGAAGAUGAGAAAACACAUCAAAAACAGGCAUAGAGAAAGGAAAGGCGAUCACAUGAUUGACAUGGUGUUAAUGCGUCCUGCCAGGAUGUCUGGCUGUUGGCCCCCUGCUACACAAAUAUCUAUAGGUCCACUUUAAAUACAGACACACGCUCAAACACCAAUGUGAAGCAUCCGCCGUUGAACAAUGGUGUCCUCCCUUCUAUUCUCUUCCUCUCAUCCAAGAGAACCAAGCCCCUUCUCAUGCCUCAUAUUUGCUUGUCUGUGUUCUGGUGUCUUUUAUAUUCCAUGUGAUGAAACCUCCUAUACUAUGUGUUCCACUCUGUUCUCCGUUUGGCUUGAUAGGGAUGAGGUAAAUGAAAUAGAGAGGCGUAGUUUGACUGAAACAAAGUUAGUUUUUUUCUCUUGAGGGACCAUUGCUUAAUGUACUGUUUUUGACUUGUCUUUAUUUUUCAUAAACUGCCAUUCGCUGUUUAUUUCAUUUAACCAUCGAAUCCAACCUCGUCUUCUGGCCAGCAUGCUAUAGCACCAUGACCGUGCUCGUUUCUACAUGAUGAUUAUUAUAUCUGAUUAGAAGUCUUAACUCACUGCUGUCUGCACCUUCCGUUUUGUGAAAGAGAUUUGAAUGAAUUGUAAACAGAUUGAUUUCAUACUGUACACUUUGGAGAUGAUGACGACAGAAACGACAAGGUGGAAGUUAUCAUUACGUUUUGUUUACCAUUCUGCAGCUCAGAAUUGAAUCUCACAGCCAGUUAGUUGUGUCUCUGAGACAUAUUGCAGUUGAUGCACGUCGAGGAUGAUCAAAAUGGCAACUUCCAUUUCCGCGACAGAAGAGGUGGAGCCUAAUUGAAGAAGAUACAGUAUGCUGUGCACUUUUUUUUUUACUCUUGACUUUAGGUGGUGGCGAAGUGAUGGGUCUACUGGCAUGCUUCAUUACUUACAGGAAAACAAGACAAUAAUUCACCUUUUUCCUUUUCUCAUGUCACCAGUCGGGGGAAACGAAAAGUCAACUAUUAUUCUCAAGGCAGAAGUAUCAAUAUGAAAUGAAUAACAUUCUUCCAUUCUAAACACAACACAAUGUAGACAACCCUUUGUAGACACUGGAGUUCUGUAAUUUGGUAUAUACAAAUGAUGAUAAUAAUAAUAAUGGCUGUCUGUUCUUGUUGUUUUAUAAAAGUGCUGUGAAAAUUCUAAGAAAGUUUAAAGUAUUUAAAGUUGUUCUCGUUUUUUUUGUUGUUUUUUUUUGCUUAGGUUUUGUUAUGAUAAUAUAUUAUUGUGUACCUAUUGUAAAUAUGAAGCACCUAUUUUGCAAGCCAGGAAUUCACUUUUUACUGUUGUUAUAUAUAAAUAAACUUUGCUGGUUAAAAAAAACGCAUAGAGCUGAAA